rnacentral:rRNA from 1 species
UACGUAGGGUGCGAGCGUAAUCGGAAUUACUGGGCGAAAGCGUGCGCAGGCGGUUUUGUAAGCCAGAUGUGAAAUCCCCGGGCUUAACCUGGGAACUGCAUUUGUGACUGGCAGGCUAGAGUAUGGGCAGAGGGGGUAGAAUUCCACGUGUAGCAGUGAAAUGCGGUAGAGAUGUGGAGGAAUACCGAUGGCGAAGGCAG